ensembl:lncRNA
AAAAAGACUCUCAGCUGUAUAAUCAUCUUCCUAUAAAAUAAAUUACUUUAUCUGUCUUAAUACUGUCACUCUUCAGUCCUCCAGUGAUCUACUUCUUCCAUCUGUGUGCAUAACUGAAAUCUUCUCUCCACCUACUCUAUGUACUUCCAAGUGUCAAAAUCCAGCCUCAAUCAUUGCUGUCAUCAGUCUCUCGUUCUUGAUGGGAUAGUGGAUGAAACAUCACUGUUCCUCAGACCUCUAUGGGUAAUUUCUGUGCUUGCUUUGCAGAGCUGAGGUAAGCUAUCAGAAAUGUGACCUAAAAGAGUUUUGUUUGGUUUGGUUUUUUGUCAGCUGAAGUUUUCCACUUUCUGCUCCUGAAGCAAGUGGGUAUUUUUGUUGCUUCCUGGGUCUUGUUUCCAUCAUGACUCUUGCUGCAUAAUUUAAGGAGAUAACCACAUUACCCAAAUCCUAUGAAAGUUGACAUACUGCUUCGUAUUGAGUAAUUCUGCAUGACUCACACUUUGUUCUCUGAUAUAAUUCUUACGCUCGUUUGCAGAAUAUUGUUGAGACAAUUGAGCUUGCUUACUGAAAUCACCAUCUUUUGUAGCGAGACAGUACAACCGCUUUCCUCUUUCACAAAGCCAUUCCAAGAACAAUGGGCCGACCCAGAAAUAACAACCAUUUGUUUUGCUUAGAAUAUGGAUUCUGCUUUGCUAAAUGAAAUAACGGCAGGGAAAAGAAAGAAACCUUCUUAGAAGCCGUGCAUCUUCCCAGAUAAAUGUGGCAACGCGCCCCUCCUGCUGAGCCGUGACCUACUUUGCUCACAAAAUGCUCUCACUACCUUCCCCCAAACGCGAGGCUGUUGAAGCCCCAGGAAUUCUUCACCUUGGGUGCGAAACCGUGAAGCGUCAGUCACCACCGAAGGAUCCUCAACGGUUUCCCUGUCUGGCGGCACUGCGCUGCUUAUCGCAUCCUCUGCGAAUGCCUCCCUUCUCAUCGCGUUGCUGUUGGGAUAAGUUUUUAUCUCUGCUCCAGUGUACACCGCGCGAGUUCAGAGCUGGGUGGAUUUUGCCAUCUUGUGAGAGGUUUUGGUACUUUUUUCUGGACUGGGUUUAUUUUUGGGUUAGCUUUAGAUAAAAAAAAUAUAUAUAUUUUAAUUCCUUCAUAUUUUUUAUGACUGAAAAGGAAUCCUUUUCCUCUAGCUAAUAUAUUAUGUGCAUCAGAACUUGGUAGUGUGCCUGUUCACAGAGAAACAGGAGUUGAGAUCGAGCAUCAACAGCUGUGGGAAUGACCUACACCAUAUGGGACAUAUGACAAUUACCCAGUCUGUGUUACAUAAGGAAUAAAAUCAAGUUGCUUUGCUAAAGCAUGGAAGGAGAGAGAACUAGAACAUGAUGACAAAUGACUGCUCCUGAUGAUAAAGGUCCUUAGAUGUACUACCAUGCUUUUUUUUUUGGCUUUACAACAAAUGCAUGCGAUCUACUUGUUAAAUUCAAGUUCGUUGCAUGGCAGAGGCAGCAUCCCUUGGCUUGGUACUUUUCUUAGUUAAGCAGCACAGCACUUAAAUAUAGAAGCUGAGUUUGUCCAUCAGGUUUUGCAUUUGUGACUCACAACCAAAGGUACUGAUGGCAGCACAUAGACAUUAUUGCCUGCUGCAGCAAUGCUCAGGCUCGUUAUUUGGGGCAGAUGAUUAGAUUUUAGUGCCACAAAGCAUCAUUAUAGUCAGAAGGUAAAUAAAUGUUUUGUCAGAUGGAAAUAUGUUUCAGAGCUUGUUCCUGUUUGUUUAGCAAAAGAAACUCUGGGAGAUGAUGCUAUACAACCUAUGCAUGCCUUUAUGGGAGAUGUGCUGCACCCUGGAGGGCUGCCUGCAAGAGCUGAUGGCCCCAACCUGUUGCUAACCCAAGGCAAACCUUUAAAAGCUGGAGAAUUAGCAACCAGCCAGAAGGAAAAUGAUUGAUUCCUAAGGUCUUGCUUUCUUUUAGCUACAACUGGGUACCUUUCAGGAUGACACACCUGCAUCAAACAACUCUUAAUGUCAUGCAAAAGGCUGGAUGUGAUCACCUGUGAUACUCAGGAGGCUGGAUCACAGCUCCUUCCCUCUGCCAGGGGAAGUCUUUGAACCAUCUCAUCUCAUCUUAUGUCUGGCAUUUGCUGAUAUUGUGUAAUGGGGAGCUUUAGUGCCUUCCAUGACAGCAGGGCCAGGAGGUGAUUCCUUGUGCUGCUCUGGGGCCCACAGGGCUCAGCAAGGAUCCUGGCACUGGGCUGCAGCACCGACCCCAGAACUGCCACUGGAGUUCCCCAGCCACUACUGAGUGACAAUGGAGUCAUUGGUUUCACAGAGGCUGCUAUUCUUCCAGUGUGGAACCCAAAAAUUCAGCAUGUGAGAAACCUCAGAAAAGAGGAGGACUCUGCAAAAGCCCUGUGGCUGUCCAGAGCUUCUCGGAGGAGAAUUCAAACUCUGGGCUCUGCCAUUCAUAUGCAAAAACAGGAAGAGGAGAACUCACCGAGUGAUGCCCAAUCCAGCUACGAUCCUCACCGAGCUGAUAAUCCUACCAGAAGCACAGAUUUCACCCUGAUGGCUCCCAGCUCCAAAAUGUCACCAGAGAUAGAAGCACUGAAGAUCUGUGUGGAUGUCUCCUGAUAAUGGCAGGAACUUGCAUUAACAACCGCUCAGCUGCAGUCCUGGAAGUUAGAAGGACAUAAAGGUGCAGUGGGAAUUGCGGAGGAGUCAUUUCUGAAUGAAGACAUUUCCGUCCAACAUUUUGGCUUGCCUGAAGCACACUGAGUGAAGAGGAAUUGUCCUUGGCCACCUAUAAAAUACAUAAUUGGUUAAUGUAUGUAAGUAACAAAACUUCUUUUAUUUUUUAAUAUCUUCUAUUAAAACAUAAAAAAGAGGGCAGCAAAGCCAUAAAACUAGCAAGUUGGAUGUGUGUGGUCUGGUACAUGGGGGUCCUCAGAAGGGGGUGACUUGGAGAAGCCAUGGAGCAGUAGGACUCUGCAUUGCUGACACAGAGCAGAAAGCCUUGCAGUAGCCCAGACCCAGCAGGUGGGGCAGGAAGACUCUCCUCUGGGGCGGAGGGUGGAGGUGACGUUAACCAGACACUGGGGACCCUCCACGACCCAGCUGAGAGAGCUUCUGUUUAUAAAUCAGCAUCCACUUCCCAGGAAAAUGGUUUUGAUGUUGACUUCAGACAUCCUCUCUCUGGGAACAGCCCAGCCUCUGCCUUGCCCCAGAGACAAUAGAAGGAAGACAAGCACAAUGGGCGCAUGUGCUAAACACUUUAAUGAGCACUUCCACACCAUUCUCCUGUGUUUCCCCACAUCCCAUGAGUCAAUAAGCACCUCAUGCAGCUUUCUAGAUAGUGCACAAUAAACUGAUAGGGCUGUGGACUAGUCCAAGCAUUUGCCCUCAUUCACUGAGUAAAAGAAUGGAGAUGAGAGCUUGUUUUGUUCCCUAUAUGUUAACUCCAUAUAACAUUCCUAACAAUUUCUUUUCCUCUGUAAACCUUCUACCAUGAAAUUAUGCUUAGACUAUUUUAAGUGCAAUUAUACAC